GGAGGCGAGACGGGUGAGCAAAGGCCGCUGGAGCCCAGGGUUCCAAGAGGUCUGGGGCGGCGGCAGGCCCCUUGCAGUUACCCUGGUGUUGAGGAGGGUCGGUCGCUGCCUCGCCCAGCCUGCUGCUGAACCCGCUGAUGCCCAGGCCACCCGCCUGCAUCUUGAUCGCCGACUUGAGCUCGUGAUUCUCCCGAAGGAGCCGCACCAGCUUCUUCAGUUCCUCAUUUUCCCGCACCAGCCUCUCGAUCUGAUGGCGAAGCCCCUCGUAAUUGGGGGACUCAGCAGACAGCAGGCCAAACUCCACUGGCAGAGAUGCCCCGCCCGCCUCGACCAGGCCCAUCCUGAGCCCUUUGUGGCACUGCCAGCUGCCCCAGCCCCGAGCCCCACCUGAUCUCCUCUCUGCACAUCUCAUCUGCUUCCUCCCUGCUUUCUUCACCUGUUGGCACCCACCCCCUCUCCUGGACAUUCUCUUGCCAGACGCAUCUUCCUGAACCCACAGCCAGCUGUGGCUCCUGCCAGAGGCCCCUUCACCGGCAGGACAGGUCCAAGCCCUCACCCACGUGCAGCCCUGGCCUUCCCUCCCGCGGUGGCCCCGCCCUGGCCCACACCUGCAGCCCCUGGUCGUCCCCAGGGAGCCUCUCCCAGGGACUAGCUCAGCCAAGAGUUUGUCCUCCUUGAACUCCCUGAGAAAACACCGUCCCUGCACAUCUCGCUCGGCAUUUAUUCCUGAGCCGCUCCUCUUGCCUCUGCUGGCGUUCUCUUCAACCACCCGGAUGCUCCGUGUUUUCUCCCCUGCGUGGAAUCCUCACGGGCCUGUGGGCUACCGCGGAGCAGGUUCCCGUGCGCUUGGAGCGCCUGCAGGCGGGGUCCCUUGGGUGAGGAGCCGCGCCUGCUCGAGGAGAGGCGGGGAAGGGGAGCCGCGUCGCCUGCCCGCGCUUGGCAGGUGAAGAGCAGAGCGCCGAGUGAGGCGUACACGAUCUCCAGGAUGCGGUUGCGGACAAAGAUGCAGAGGAUGGCGAAGACGAGGAGCACCGCCAUGCUCACCAGCAGCAC